AGAGUUUGAUCCUGGCUCAGGACGAACGCUGGCGGCGCGCCUAACACAUGCAAGUCGAACGAGCGAGAGAGAGCUUGCUUUCUCGAGCGAGUGGCGAACGGGUGAGUAACGCGUGAGGAACCUGCCUCAAAGAGGGGGACAACAGUUGGAAACGACUGCUAAUACCGCAUAAGCCCACGGCUCGGCAUCGAGCAGAGGGAAAAGGAGCAAUCCGCUUUGAGAUGGCCUCGCGUCCGAUUAGCUAGUUGGUGAGGUAACGGCCCACCAAGGCGACGAUCGGUAGCCGGACUGAGAGGUUGAACGGCCACAUUGGGACUGAGACACGGCCCAGACUCCUACGGGAGGCAGCAGUGGGGAAUAUUGCACAAUGGGGGAAACCCUGAUGCAGCGACGCCGCGUGGAGGAAGAAGGUCUUCGGAUUGUAAACUCCUGUUGUUGGGGAAGAUAAUGACGGUACCCAACAAGGAAGUGACGGCUAACUACGUGCCAGCAGCCGCGGUAAAACGUAGGUCACAAGCGUUGUCCGGAAUUACUGGGUGUAAAGGGAGCGCAGGCGGGAAGACAAGUUGGAAGUGAAAUCUAUGGGCUCAACCCAUAAACUGCUUUCAAAACUGUUUUUCUUGAGUAGUGCAGAGGUAGGCGGAAUUCCCGGUGUAGCGGUGGAAUGCGUAGAUAUCGGGAGGAACACCAGUGGCGAAGGCGGCCUACUGGGCACCAACUGACGCUGAGGCUCGAAAGUGUGGGUAGCAAACAGGAUUAGAUACCCUGGUAGUCCACACCGUAAACGAUGAUUACUAGGUGUUGGAGGAUUGACCCCUUCAGUGCCGCAGUUAACACAAUAAGUAAUCCACCUGGGGAGUACGACCGCAAGGUUGAAACUCAAAGGAAUUGACGGGGGCCCGCACAAGCAGUGGAGUAUGUGGUUUAAUUCGACGCAACGCGAAGAACCUUACCAAGUCUUGACAUCCCUU
rnacentral:rRNA from 1 species